rnacentral:rRNA from 1 species
GGUUUGAUCCUGGCUCAGAUUGAACGGCGGGACGGCGGCGCGUCGAACGGCAGCAUGGACUUCGGUCUGCGGCGAGUACGGUCCGGGUGAGUAAUGUAUCGGAACGUGCCUAGUAGCGGGGGAUAACUACGCGAAAGCGUAGCUAAUACCGCAUACGCCCUUCGGGGGAAAGCGGGGACCUUCGGGCCUCGCACUAUUAGAGCGGCCGAUAUCGGAUUAGCUAGUUGGUGGGGUAACGGCUCACCAAGGCGACGAUCCGUAGCUGGUUUGAGAGGACGACCAGCCACACUGGGACUGAGACACGGCCCAGACUCCUACGGGAGGCAGCAGUGGGGAAUUUUGGACAAUGGGGGAAACCCCUGAUCCAGCCAUCCCGCGUGUGCGAUGAAGGCCUUCGGGUUGUAAAGCACUUUUGGCAGGAAAGAAACGGCACGGGAUAAUACCCGUGCAACUGACGGUACCUGCAUGAAUGGCACCCGCCAACUACGCGCCGCAGCCGCGGUAAUGGCUGCAGGGGUGCAAGCGUGACCGGAAUACUGGGCGUAAAAGCGUGCGCAGGCGGUUCGGAAAGAAAGAUGGGAAAUCCCAGAGCUUAACUUUGAACCCAUUUUAACCGAGCUAGAGUGUGUCAGAGGGAGGUGGAAUUCGCGUGUAGCAGUGAAAUGCGUAGAUAUGCAGGAACACCCAUACAAGGCAGCCUCCUGGGAUAACACUGACGCUCUUUAGCACGAAAGCGGGAGCAAACAGGAUUAGAUACCCUGGUAGUCCACGCCCUAAACGAUGUCAACUAGCUGCUGGGGCCUUCGGGCCUUGGUAGCGCAGCUAACGCGUGAAGUUGACCGCCUGGGGAGUACGGUCGCAAGAUUAAAACUCAAAGGAAUUCGACGGGGACCCGCGCAAGCGGUGGAUGAUGUGGACAAUCUUUGAUAACGCUAAAAACCUACCUACCCUUGACAUGUCUGAAUCCCGAAGAGAUUUGGGAGUGCUCGCAAGAGAACCGGAACAGGUGCUGCAUGGCUGUCGUCAGCUCGUGUCGAGAGGUUAAGUUGUUCCACAACUAGCGCAACCCUUGUCAUUAGUUGCUACGAAAGGGCACUCUAAUGAGACUCUGCCGGUGACAAACCGGAGGAAGGUGGGGAUGACGUCAAGUCCUCAUGGCCCUUAUGGGUAGGGCUUCACACGUCAUACAAUGGUCGGGACAGAGGGUCGCCAACCCGCGAGGGGGAGCCAAUCCCAGAAACCCGAUCGUAGUCCGGAUCGCAGUCUGCAACUCACCUGCGUGAAGCCGGAAUCGCUAGUAAUCGCGGAUCAGCAUGUCGCGGUGAAUACGUUCCGGGUCUGUACACACCGCCAUCACACCAUGGGAGUGGUUUUACCAGAAGUAGUUAGCCUAACCGUAUGAGGCGACUACCACGGUGAUCCAUGACUAGCAAGUCGUAAACAAGGCAACU